rnacentral:lncRNA from 1 species
CCUGGGCCGGCUGUGCACAGGGACCAGGCUGGGGACUCCGCUCACUCCAGGCCGGUGAUGCUCUGCAGGCACGCGGCAGGCAAAGGCCUUGUCUCCAUCUCUGAGCUGGGGACGUAGGGUCUGCACAGAGAUUUGCCUUCUCACAAAGCCGGUGUCAGCAAAGAAACAAAAUCCCAGUGUUUUAACGACACAAGCCUCGGUUUUGCAAAGCAGCAGAGCAGCUGUUUCGAAUUUUUCCACAGCGAGCCUCUUCACUGGGUAUGUGCUGCAGGAGGGCAAGGCUCAAGUUCUUCAAUUAAUCCAAGUAGCCAGACCUCUACGGACAUUGGUGGACAUGGACAAGUCGCCACAUCUGAAGAUAAAAUACUAGAGGCUCCAUCCUGCUGACACAGAAGACAAUGAUAUACUUUGCAUUCCUCUGAUAUGUGGAAAUGUGUCUGAAUGUCCUCACUAUUGGGGCAUUUUGGGGCAGCUACCAG